ensembl:lncRNA
UUUCUCCCCUCUUAGGUCUGUCUGGGAAAGUCAGUGUUGUUUUCUGUCUGAGGAUAAUUAACCCACUGGGUCUUGAAUUUCCUAGAUGGGGGUCCACGAACAGCUCCUCUUUAGUUUGUGCUUACUGGGUACCAUACAGGCGUGGGCUAAUUCACCCUGUGACUCUGGAUCACUCAUUUACUUCUCACAUCAGCCUUCUGACACAGGUGGUGUUCUUCCAGUCUCACAGCUGCCAGAAUUGGUUCCGUCUUCCCAUUCCCCCAGGGAAAGAGUGAGAAUGUGGCAGUGUCAAAAAAUCAUGGUGGUGGAGUUCCUACUGUGGCUCAGCAGUAAUGAACCAGGAGCAAGAGGUAACAGGAGGGGCAGUGCAGCAAAGGACAAAGAAGCAGACACACCUCACCUAGGCUGA